ACAAGGAUUCCCYUAGUAACUGCGAGUGAAGCGGGAAGAGCUCAAAUUUUGAAUCUGGCGGUCCUCGUGGUCGUCCGAGUUGUAAUCUAGAGAAGCRUUUUCCGCGCUGGACCGUGUACAAGUCUCCUGGAACGGRGCGUCAUAGAGGGUGAGAAUCCCGUCUCUGACACGGACUACCAGGGCUUUUGUGAUGCGCUCUCGACGAGUCGAGUUGUUUGGGAAUGCAGCUCAAAUUGGGUGGUAAAUUCCAUCUAAAGCUAAAUACAGGCGAGAGACCGAUAGCGAACAAGUACCGUGAGGGAAAGAUGAAAAGAACUUUGGAAAGAGAGUUAAACAGUACGUGAAAUUGCUGAAAGGGAAACGCUUGAAGUCAGUCGCGUUGGCCGGGGAUCAGCCUUGCAAUCUUGUUGGGUGCAUUUCCUGGUUGACGGGUCAGCAUCGAUUUUGACCGUCGGAGAAGGGUCGAGGGAAUGUGGCAUCCUUCGGGGUGUGUUAUAGCCUUUGAUCGUAUGCGACGGUUGGGAUCGAGGAACUCAGCAUGACCCCUCGUGGGUUUGGGGCUUCGGCUCACAUCCAUGCUUAGGAUGCUGGCAUAAUGGCUUUAAGCGACCCGUCUUGAAACACGGACCAAGGAGUCUAACAUGCCCGCGAGUGUUUGGGUGUUUAAAACCCGAGCGCGUAAUGAAAGUGAAAGUUGAGACCUCUGUCGUGGAGGGCAUCGACGCCCGGACCAGAACUUUUGUGACGGCCCUGCGGUAGAGCGUGUAUGUUGGGACCCGAAAGAUGGUGAACUAUGCCUGAAUAGGGUGAAGCCAGAGGAAACUCUGGUGGAGGCUCGUAGCGAUUCUGACGUGCAAAUCGAUCGUCGAAUUUGGG
rnacentral:rRNA from 1 species